CUCCAGACUCCUACGGGAGGCAGCAGUGGGGAAUAUUGGGCAAUGGAGGAAACUCUUACCCAGCAAUGCCGCGUGAAUGAAGAAGGUCUUCGGAUUGUAAAGUUCUUUAAUUGGGGACGAAAAAAAUGACGGUACCCAAGGAAUAAGCCCCGGCUAACUACGUGCCAGCAGCCGCGGUAAUACGUAGGGGGCAAGCGUUGUUCGGAAUGACUGGGCGUAAAGGGUGCGUAGGCGGUGUAGCAAGUUAGAAGUGAAAUACCUAGAGCUUAACUCAGGUGCUGCUUCUAAAACUGCUAUACUUGAGUGCAGUAGAGGAAAGUGGAAUUCCUAGUGUAGCGGUGGAAUGCGUAGAUAUAUGGAGGAACACCGGUGGCGAAAGCGGCUCUCUGGCCUGUAACUGACACUGAGGCUCGAAAGCGUGGGGAGCAAACAGGAUUAGAUACCCGAGUAGAC
rnacentral:rRNA from 1 species